AGAUUGAACGCUGGCGGCAGGCCUAACACAUGCAAGUCGAGCGGUAGAGAGGUGCUUGCAUCUCUUGAGAGCGGCGGACGGGUGAGUAAUGCCUAGGAAUCUGCCUAGUGGUGGGGGAUAACGUUCGGAAACGGACGCUAAUACCGCAUACGUCCUACGGGAGAAAGCGGGGGACCUUCGGGCCUCGCGCCAUUAGAUGAGCCUAGGUCGGAUUAGCUAGUUGGUGAGGUAAUGGCUCACCAAGGCGACGAUCCGUAACUGGUCUGAGAGGAUGAUCAGUCACACUGGAACUGAGGCACGGUCCAGACUCCUACGGGAGGCAGCAGUGGGGGAAUAUUGGAGA
rnacentral:rRNA from 1 species